rnacentral:rRNA from 1 species
UACGUAGGUGGCAAGCGUUAUCCGGAAUUAUUGGGCGUAAAGGGCGCGCAGGUGGUUAAUUAAGUCUGAUGUGAAAGCCCACGGCUUAACCGUGGAGGGUCAUUGGAAACUGGUUGACUUGAGUGCAGAAGAGGGAAGUGGAAUUCCAUGUGUAGCGGUGAAAUGCGUAGAUAUAUGGAGGAACACCGGUGGCGAAAGCGGCUCUCUGGCCUGUAACUGACACUGAGGCUCGAAAGCGUGGGGAGCAAACAGG